rnacentral:lncRNA from 1 species
UGAACCUUUCUCCAGAAGUGAAACUCAAGAACUAGAAAACAGAUUUGGGGUUGCCAGAUUGGAGGGGGAGGGUGUGGGAAGGACUGAGAUUUGGAGGGUGAUAGAUCCAAACUCUUUUCCUUGGAGUGAGUAAGCACAGACAUCCUGCUGUUUAGCACAGGGAACUCUAUGUAGUCACGAUUUUUGGACCAAACGGAGGACAAUGUGGGAAAAACAACAUGGAUAGACACGUACGAUUGGAUCACCUUGUUCUUAAAGUGAAGUGCAGCACCAUAAACUAUCGAUAUUCGAAAAUGUUGAAUGACAACAUCCGACAAUACCAGCGGGUCCGUGUUCACCCAGGAAGAUGUCCAGGUGGAGACUGCUGCCGCUCGGGAAAGAGACAGGCACACGGACGCCGCUGAACCUGUCAAGGUUUCCUAGCAAAGCGACACUGGACCAGGCAUAAUUACCUAGCAGGUAUGAAUUAAUUUGUAUACUACAAUUAUAUUUGUUUAUUUAUUUUUUGCUUCCCUAGUUAUUUUCCUGCAGACAUGUGUGGCAUGCAGAUACCCUCUGCUCUGAAAAUGAAUCCACUCCUAUGGCAUACAUCCCCAAGCUCAUACUCAGUACCCUCCACCACCAGAGAUACUGGAUCAGGAGAAACAUUAGGAUUGCUUUAUAUAUCCAUUCACUUAGCUCUUCUGUAGGAAUAUAUAUAUUCUUUGUUAUUUAAGCUCAUUAUUUUCAAUAACUUUGUAUCAAUUUAUUUGGUUGCCUCCUGUGACAUUAGGAAGUUGUCUGGCCAGAAAUUAAUCUCCCAGUGCAGCUCUUACUAUAGCCACAGUGACAAGGAGAGACUCUUUAGCCAGGCAGCCAUGAGGGAACUCCCUGAGAGCAUGUUUCAUACCAAUCAACCCUGCUUAAUUCAUCAGACCUGGUUUCAGUCAGGCUCGUAAUGAGGCGCCACACCGAAAAGUGAGGCUCAACUCGAAAGGCAAGAAGGCCAGUUCCCUCAACCCUUUGAGAAAAAAAUCACAGGGAUUAGCGCAGCUGCCCACCCUGAUGACACAGAAGCCCCCAAUUUAUUCAUCAAUACCACCCUCUUUCUCCACCUACCAAAACCCCCGACGGUCAGGGACAUGAAAAUGGCCAACUCACAAUACAACACCAAUGCUUUGUGGGUCUCUGAACCUGCCUCUGAAGAAACGUAAGGCAUGGCAAAAACCCAGUGAAUCCUUCAAGUAUUCUGCACACACUGGACCCAACCCAGCUGCCAAUACACCUCCAAAUGCUGAAGGGACACCUUUGUCUUCUGCCUGACACGAGGCAUCUUGGAGCAGAGGACCUGCCCAGGAAAUAACCAAAAAUAUUCUGGAUGCUUGCUGUGGGUUCCGCUCAGGACACCAUCAGCCCGGACUCUGAGCCUUGGAGCUCUAACCUCUUAGAGCCUUGGAGCUGCACCUGGGGCCAGAAGGGACUCUGGUGCCCUCGUGUGGACACCUGCUCUAACAGCCACUCUCAGAUUUUCUUCCUCUUUCUUGCUCAGCAGUCCCCAGGGCUGCAUUGGCCAAAGGCCAUGGGCAGGUUGGGUCUCCUUCCUCGCUUUCAUGAAAUACCAAGAAGUGCACUUCUGAGUGGGCAAUUUCUCUCUCAAAGACUUUCUGAACCCUGAAGCCAACCUAUGCCAUGCCUUGCUGUUUAAACCCUUAACUCCAGACCCAUCAUAUAAUGAAGGCUUUCAUCCUUAUUAUAUAUCCCUGCAUAUAUAUAAAGAUAGGUGUGUGUAUGUAACGACUGCUUUUUUUAAGUUUCCACCUGUUAUUCCUUCAUUCAUAAAGUAUGCUUCUUUUCUUUCUUUGUAUUUUUUCCUUUCUUUCCCNNNNNNNNNNNUUCUAAAUUUAUUGACCCCCCAAAGCACGUGCGAGUUGUCUGCACAUAGAUGACUGUCAAGCCACAGUACUUACUAAUACCAUCACAGAGACAAAGACAGAUGUUUUACCGCGUGUGUCAGGAGUGUUCUUGGUGAGAGCUUUCUAUAUAUCAAUCAACUGACUGGACUUAGCAUGCCCAACCUUGUUUUAGGUCACGUCUUCAUACCAGGUGCAUAGAAAGAAGAGAAGAGGCUCACGUGGAAAGGAAAGGAUGGAGUUUCACGAGAAUUCAUGAGAUAAAAUGCCCAAUGAUUGGCCAAGCUGCUUCCCAAAGUAUCACCGUUUUUGCACCUCCCAAGCAAAACCUGCAGGCACUUUAUAUGGAUCCAAAAGCCCAGGUCAGCCUGGGCUUCCAAAAUUAACAGCUCAACCACUGACCAUCCAACGGAAAAACAAAACCAACAACCUUAACGAAACGUUGGCAAAAACCUGAAUAGACCUUUCCCUAAACCAGAUACACAGAGGGCAAACCACCGGGGAGAAUGAACAGCAUCGCUAACUGAUAGAGAUUUCCAAAUCAAAAUGCUGCUGAGGUAUGGCCUCGCCCCUCUCCGAAUGGCCAUCUUCAAAUAAAAAAACCCUGGAGAGCAUGUAGAGCAAAAAUGCCCUACUACAUUUUGGCUGUUAGGCAAAUGUGUAAAACCACUGUGGACCACAGGAUCUUGAUAAUCCGAAAAAUAAACAUAGAACCACCGUAUGACCCAGGAGUCUUACUCCUGUGCAUAUACCCAGAAAAUGUCCUUUUCACAAAUGGAAAUGCAAUGCUAUAUUCAUGCAGCACUAUUCACAAUAACAAGACACGGAGACACAUUCUAUGUCCAUGAGCAUGGAUUGGAUUAGGAAGAGGAUGUCCAUAUACACAAUGGAAUAGUACACAGCCAUAAAAAAGAGCCAAAAAUGACAUUGGCAGCCACAUAGAUGGAAAUAAAAACUCUCAUACUAAAAGAAAUGUCUGAAAAAGAAAUACAAUGCCACAGGAAACCCCUCCCCUCUGGAAUCUUACAAAUGAUACCAAUGAAGUUUUUACAAAAAACAAACAAAACAAAAAAACCCAAAAAACCUCACGAACUGGAAAACAGAAUUGAUUACUAGAUUGGAGGGGGAGAGUCUGUGAAGGA